UACGGGAGGCAGCAGUGGGGAAUAUUGCACAAUGGGCGAAAGCCUGAUGCAGCUAUGCCGCGUGUAUGAAGAAGGCCUUAGGGUUGUAAAGUACUUUCAUCGGGGAGGAAAAAACAAAACUAAUAAUUUUAUUUCUUGACGUUACCCGAAAAAGAAGCACCGGCUAACUCCGUGCCAGCAGCCGCGGUAAUACGGAGGGUGCUAGCGUUAAUCAGAAUUACUGGGCGUAAAGAGCACGUAAGUGGUUUUUUUAAGUCAGAUGUGAAAUCCCUGGGCUUAACCUAGGAACUGCAUUUUGAAACUGAAAUACUAGAGUAUCGUAGAGGGAGGUAGAAUUCUAGGUGUAGCGGUGAAAUGCGUAGAUAUCUGGAGGAAUACCUGUGGCGAAAGCGGCCUCCUAAACGAAUACUGACACUGAGGUGCGAAAGCGUGGGGAGCAAACAGGGAUUAGAUACC
rnacentral:rRNA from 1 species